AUGUCACAAUGCUGCUAUAGAGCUAUAUGAAGACUCUGAGUUGACCACCAGACUUCACAACAUUGGGUUCAUUGGUGAUCUUGAAAGGAAAUGUUUGAUAAAGUUAUGGAAUUGUGAAUGUAUUGUGCCUUCAGUCAACAUUACUGAUCAACCCUCUUGAUAUGUCUUGAUGAUAGCAUAGACUAUUCUCUGAUACAAACAUUACAACUAUCCACACAGGGACUACCACUAAAAUUUAUAAAACAGCCAGCUAAAUAAUAUGUAUUUGGAACAAAUGAUCACUUAAUGCACAGCUUGACAUCUUCAUUGAGCCCUCUAAUGGGUUCAAGAAAAGUAUAAAUUUGAACGGUGCUAGAUGGGCUCCCUGCCUUAAUCUGAGUCACAAGCUCCACCUCUGUCAGAGUCUGAGCCCCAGCCCACAAGAGGUUGAGUGGAUAUGAGAGCUAUCGCAAAUGUGGAGCAAGGAAUCAAUGCCAGUGUAAAAUUGGAAUUCAUCUCAAUGACCUCCAGUAAAAUAAUGACUGGCUAAUCUGUGAUAAAACCACAGAAUGGAUUAGCAUGCCCCCUAUGCAAAUGUUAAAAAGAAUGAAUUGGAUUUACAUGGUUUGAAAUGGAAAGAUCUGCAUGACCAAAAUGAAAAAUGCUAUUAAAGGAGAAUGAGGAUUGUUUGUCAAAUUGGGACCAGCUGGGAUUCUUUGGCCGGCUCCCAGACGCGACUGUGAAGAAGCGGAUAUUGGGUGCUCUCCCACCUCGUCAGGAGCGGCGUUCUCCUGCCUGCUCUUGGCACCCCCUAGCAUCCUGUGCCCUGCUAAGGUGUUAACUGACAACUGACAGAUUUUACUAAGAGAGCCUACUCUUCCCAGUAGUAUUUUCAUUUCAAAAGUUGACUUAAAAACUUAAAAAAAAAAAAAAGAAACAACUCCUCUGACAGUCAAGGCAUAGAGUUUUUCCACUACCGCCCACAAAUAUGAUCACAACUCUCCCAUCUUUAAGGCAAAUAAGCAAAUUCUCCCAGGGCACCUGAGAUUCCAUUAGCUGCCAUCCAGUGUUUAUCAAUUUCCAAGCAAAAUUUUCGAUAGAAUAGUUCGUUGUCUUUUCCACUAACCUCCCAAGCAUUACAACUCUAAUGUAAUCUGGCUUUCAUCUUCUCUCCUCAAAUUGCUCUCUUACAGAUCACCAUCAUUAAGAUAUAAUUGCCAAUGCUGGGGACUUUUCUUCAAUUUAAUUCAGAACUCUCUAGUAGAGUGGUGUUGCUACAUUUAUUAUAGUUUUUCAUUUGACUGUUUCUCACCCCAUCUUGAUGGCGAACUUCUUUGUGUCUGGGUCUCUGCCUCAUCCAUCUUCAUCUCACUGUUGUCUUGUACAAGGCUUAGCCCAUGAGAGUGUUUACAAUAUAUUUGCUACCUGAUAUCUGCCGAUGGACUGAGUGCUUUGAAAGGCCCAGUGUGGGUCACCUAUUCGGGUUGAAUAAAAUGUGUGCAAAGGCACAGCAGGUAGUGGAAGUGUCAGAUGGGGGAGGGAUAUUGAGCAGUUUAAUUCAUCCAACACUCUUUCAAUAAUACUUCCCGCCCAUUCUAUAGAUUGGCUCUGAUUACAAGAAUUAGGAAGAUAUAAAGGUUCAUCUGGGCUGGGCAGAAACCAGAACUAACUAAGGUUUGAUGGGGAAAAAAAAGAAAAGAAUCUCUCUGAGAACAGUGAGUAAAGCAUGGGGUGAGAGGAGAAGAAAGAGUUAAGCUAUUAUCAGUUAUGCUAAUAACACUCCAAGGGCACAGGCCAGACAAUCUUUCAUACUGUAAAUACACAUAAAUAUCUAAAGCAGGGCCAGGCUCGGUGGUGGCUCACACCUGUAAUCCUAGCACUCUGGAAGGCCAAGGCAGGAGUAUUGCCCAAGGUCAGGAGUUCGA